AGUUGCUAUGAAAACCAUCACUAAGGUCAGCAACUAUGAAGGAGUGAUUAGAGCAAUAAAGUUUUCUCCUAAUACCAUCUUCAUCAAGAUCACUUCCUGGUUUUGAUGAUUGGAAAUUUCGAGGUGAAGCAUGGCUCUGUCAGGAUCCGUAUUUCAGAAUAACGCUAGAUGUUGCUCCUGAUAUUGGAUAUCAGGAUAGGAAUAUGGAUCUGGAAACAUGCUCAGCAAGAGAAUUAAAGAUGUAGUAUUGAAGUUUUGACGCAGCUGGUUGAAAAGCGGUGUAAAGCCGGAGCUUUAGUGACUGAUCGAUGGUUGAUGCAUUCAUGGCAACGAGACCCCUCCCAAAUAUAGUAGACUAAGCCAUGAUGCUUAACUCAUGUAAUGAUAUCGGCUUUAUAAGUUAAUUAUCGAUCAGUCUAACUUGGUUCUCAUUUUCAUGUA